UACGGAGGAUCCAAGCGUUAUCCGGAUUCAUUGGGUUUAAAGGGUGCGUAGGCGGAAUGAUAAGUCAGUGGUGAAAGCCUGCAGCUUAACUGCAGAACUGCCAUUGAUACUGUCAAUCUUGAGUACAUUUGAUGUGGGCGGAAUGUGUCAUGUAGCGGUGAAAUGCUUAGAUAUGACACAGAACACCGAUUGCGAAAGGCAGCUCACAAAACUGUAAACUGACGC
rnacentral:rRNA from 1 species